rnacentral:misc_RNA from 1 species
AAGCAACUCCAUCAAAAUAAUCACACAGAAAAAAGAGAAACUCAGCACAACAUUGAAGGCUGCAUUACUAUUAUGAAAACACAGGAAAAAAUAAAUGAUAAGAAAAUCCCAGAAUUUAUAAUUAUUUAACUAUUCUUGUUUCCAAAAUCGAAUACUAUUGCUAUUUAAACAGUUUCGUAAGCUAAGCUUAGUUUCACCAUGGCUUUCGACUUUAAGCCAAGGAUUUUAAUCCCAGUCA